UACGUAGGUGGCAAGCGUUGUCCGGAAUUACUGGGCGUAAAGCGUGCGCAGGCGGUUGUGUAAGUCAGAUGUGAAAUCCCCGGGCUCAACCUGGGAACUGCAUUUAGAGACUGCACGGCUAGAGUGUAGCAGAGGGGGUAGAAUUCCACGUGUAGCAGUGAAAUGCGUAGAGAUGUGGAGGAAUACCGAUGGCGAAGGCAGCCCCCUGGGUUACUACUGACGCUCAUGC
rnacentral:rRNA from 1 species